AGGGGUGUAGCUCAAUGGUAGAGUAUUUGCCUAUCAAGCAAGAAGUCCUGGGGUUAAUUGCCAACACUCAAA
rnacentral:tRNA from 1 species